UCGAUAAGAAUAAGUAGAGCUAUUGUAGUCACCCGAGCGUCGGCGUAACCACUUAAUACGUUAAAGUUUUGUAAUACCUCAAAUAUUUUCAAAGUCCAUUGACAUAUGGCUUUGAAACUUUGCACACUUGUUCACCAUCAUGACCCCAACCUGUAGACAGGGGAAGGUAACUCUAUCAAGCAUUUUGACAGAAUUAUUCCCCUUUUUCAACUUAGAAUUUACGUUAAAGUUUUUGUAAUACCUCAAAUAUUUUCAAAGUCCAUUGACAUAUGGCCUUAAAAAUUUGCAUGUACUUGUUGACCGUCAUGACCCCAACCUGUUAACAGGAGGAGGUAACUCUAUCAAGCAUUUUGACAGAAUUAUGCCCCUUUUUUGACUUAGAAUUUAAGUUUUUAAAGUUUUUGUAAUACAUCAAAUAUUUUCAAAGUUCAUUGACAUAAGGCUUUGAAACAUGUUGAAAUUGUAUACUCUUCUUUAGAGCAUAAUAGGACUCUCUCCAAGGCCUUUAAUCAAAGAAAUAUUUUGCCUUUUUCUUUACUGAGAAAAUUUUACCUUUUAAUGAAGGCUUUUUUAUAUGCCCGAAAGAAUUUCGGACAUAUUAUGUUAUACCCCCUGGCGUCUGUCCGUCCGUCUGUCCGUCCGUUAGCAAUUUGGUUUCCGGAGCAUAACUGAAGUUCCAUUUGGCCCACAAUAUUCAAACUUCAUAGGAUGAUUGUCCAUAUUGGGUAGAAGACCCCUAUUGAUUUUGGGGUCAAAGGUCAAGGUCACUAUUACCUUAAAACUGAAAACAGUUUCCGGAGCAUAACUUAAGUUCCAUUUGGCCCACAGUGUUCAAACUUCAUAGGAUGAUUGACGAUAUUGGGUAGAAGACCCCUAUUGAUUUUGGGGUCACAAGGUCAAAGGUCAAGGUCACUAUUACUUAGAAAUUGAAAACAGUUUCUUGAGCAUAACUUUAGUUCCAUUUAGCCCACAAUAUUCAAAAAUUUCAUAGUAUGAUUGUCCAUAUUGGAUAAAAGACCCCUAAUGAUUUUGGGGUCACAAGGUCAAAGGUCAAGGUCACUUUUACCUUAGAAUUGAAAACAGUUUCUGGGACAUAACUUAAAGUUCCAUUUGGACCACAAUAUUGAAACUUCAAAGGAGGAUUGUUAUUUGAAGGAGGUAAUACUUUAUUUUAGUCCCAUGUCUUACAAAUGCU